UUUGUCAGACUAUCUGAAAGCUUUCUCCUGGUACCCAGCUGGUCCACGUCAAUGCUCUGUGUUUUACAGGUUUACCGCGAUCUUUCACGUUUAGGUGCCCAGUGAGCAUGCUCUACAGCCAAAAAGCCCCAUGGUUAAACAUGGAAGCCUCCAUGAACUGGCUUCAUGCGCUUAAAUGACACGCUCCCAGCAGAUGCUGUCUCCAGAUCUUGUAUGUCUCGAUGGUAUAGCUCGGAUGUUCCACGGGAAGGCCCGCCUUUACCGCUGACAGCCUGACACUCAUGCACAUUAGCUGCACAAGCAUGGGAACGAAUCAUUCCGAUUGAUGAUCCGGUAGAUAAGUUCACUUUAAAGAUUUGUUUUUCGAAAAAUCGUGCGUUCACUUAUUGCCCGACAUUGCACAACAGAUGUAUUACCGACAGUACUAAUUUAAAGCUAGACAGCUAGUAGAAAGCACUAGGUUGAGAUAUUCUAGACACCUAGCAUACUAGCAACCACAACAAUGGCAGAGAAAUAUCUACCAAAAUUACCAGUUCCGCCUUUGUCGACAACGGCAUAUACUGAUAAAAAAUGCAAGAAAAGAAAGACUGAUGAAGAAAAGAUGUCGACCAAAAAGAAAUUAAACCGAGCAAGAGACAAGACAAGAGUGAACAUCGGAUUGGCUUUUCAGCGAUGGCGAGAGCUGAGAAAUUUGAAAGGCUUCAAAAGUGACGGCGAGCUUGCUGUAUUUCUUCUGGACAGGUAUUGCGCGAUGAAGACACAGGAAAACCUGAGGCAGAAAAGAACAAGAACAAGAAAAAAUGGCCAUGGAAGAGGGGCAAAAAGACCCGGUCCAUGUCUGCGGAGGAGCCAGCUGUUAUCGUCAGCUGCACAGAGCAUCCAGCCCUUCAACUGCAGAGACCAGCUUGCCCCGACAAGCAGCUGCGCAGGGCAGCCGGCUGUUCCGACUGACUGCGCAGAGCAGCCCGCCUCUGACAACUGACUGCAGAGACCAGCCGGCCCUGACUACUGACUGAGCAGAGCAGACGGCCCUGACAACAGACUGCACAGAGCAGCUGGACCUGACAACAAACUGCGCAGAGCAGCUGGACCUGACAACAAACUACACAGAGCAGCUGGACCUGACAACAAACUGCACAGAGCAGCUGGACCUGACAACCAACUGCGCAGAGCAGCUGGACCUGACAACCAACUGCGCAGAGCAGCUGGACCUGACAACCAACUGCACAGAGCAGCCAGCCCUGACAACCAACUGCGCAGAGCAGCUGGAUCUGACAACCAACUGCGCAGAGCAGCCGGCCCUGACAACCAACUGCGCAGAGCAGCUGGACCUGACAACCAACUGCGCAGAGCAGCCGGCCCUGACAACCAACUGCGCAGAGCAGCCGGCUGUUCCGACUGACUGCGCAGAGCAUCCAGCUCUUAUAAACAACUGCAAACAGCAGCCAGGGCAGACAGCUAACUGCACCUAGCAUCGGGCUCUUAGACCAAAAUGCACAAGUGGAGCAGGCCCUGACAAAAAACUGCAUGCAGCGGACUGCUUUCACAAAUUUACUGCACACAGCAGGCAAUCCUAAUGCGCAGUGGAGCAGGCCUGGACAACCAGCUGCGCAGUGCUGCCAGCUCUGCCCAUAGAUUGCACAAACCCGACUGUCCUGACCUCAGCAGAAGCAGUGGCUCCUUCCGAUCACCUGCGCAGAACAUAAGCAUGACUGCGCAGAGCACACUGCCAUGUCCAUAUACUCGGCACGUACUCCAUCCCAUCCUUCUGUCUUCCCAUCAGUCUUGGGAGGUAAUGUUUUCUUCUCUAGCACUCAAAGCCUUCAUCAUACUGUCUGAUUUAUACUGUUCUGAGGAAAAAUGGAAAAUAAUAUAAAAUAAUUAGGCAUAUUUCCCUAGUUGUGGCAAUCUUUCUACACUUUCUUAUGGCUGAGAUGAAGUUUGGUGAACUACGCAACAGUUUCAAAAAGUUCCUGGAAGAGCAUGUCAGUCAGGAUGACACCCAGAGUAACAGCCUGAAUUACACAGUACUUGGGUUACUAAAUCUGGAGAACACGUUACAUGAAUGCCACUCUCCAGAGUCUCAUUAGUUUACAAAAUUACAUCAAGGACAUCAGGAGAGAGGAGGGCAGCUAGAGGCCAAAUAUGACGACGCACUUCCUGAAGUGCCUGGUGGAUGUGCACUCAGUCCAGGACAGCUGCAGCAGUAAUAAAAAGACUGGUUUGCUGAAGACCCAGAAAAAGUCAGUCUCACAGAACAAUUGGGACUUCUGUGGGUAUAAACAACAGGCUGCGGGAUGAGGGUAAGCAAAACGGACUCCUAUAAUUCCCUGUGAGUGGGAAGUCUGGCACUCUACUUCAAGGAAAGCUUGCAGCUGGACCCACGUCACUGAGCAACAUCAAAGUUGUCGGUAUGUGAGGUAGAGUGUCAGUGCUACGUGUGCUUUGCUCAGUUUGCCUCUGUGGAGCAUAAACUACAAUCACUGCCUCUUUCAGCCUCUCAGUCUCUCAGUCAGUAUCCAUCUUUCAGUAUAUGAAGCCUGGACCCUGAGACUGGCAGCACAUACCUGGCUAAGUAAAGGACUCUUCAGUGUCCAGAGUGCAGGUUAUGCAGCUCAAUCCAGGCUGAAGUUGGAGAAGCUGCAGGACCCACUACAAAUCUCCCCACUGCUCAGCCUGCAGACCCACAGCAAGGCCAACACAUGCAGGCCAGGGAUUCACAGAACAGCCGGGUGAUUCUCCCUCUCCCUCGGGCAGUUAUGAAUACAGGCUCGCCAGUGUGCUGUCUCAUAUUGGGUCCAGCAUGCGUCAUGAUAAGGCACCCAGGUCAUUGUAUCAGUGAAUGCGCUGACCAGGAUGGAAACUGGCUGUCAUUUGAUGAUGAAACAGUGAAGAAAACUGACCUGGAGUCAGUGCUCAGCCAGCUGUGCAUACCUGCUCUUCUAUGAGUACAGGCAAGAGCCGGUCCAUGCCAAUAGCCCUGCUGUUCUGAGUAUAGUACAUGUAGGACCACUACUGUUCUGUGAAUACAGCACAGGGGUGCUGGUAAAUGGACCUGGAGAGAGCAGUGAAGGAGAGACCACGGGCCAGUCUCUCAAUGCCGAAACACCAGAGGGCCAGCCUCUCCCAGCCCAGAAACACCAGGACCAGCCUCUCAACCCAGAAAAAAUCAGGGCCAGCCUCUCAACCCAGAAUCACCAAGUCCAGCUUCUUUCAACCCAACGCAGAAACUCCUGGGCCAGCCUAUUUCAACCCCACUCAGAAACACCAGGGCCAGCUUCUUUCAACUGAACCCAGAAACACCAGAGCCAGCCUUUCUCAACUCGACCCACCAAUUUUUCCCUUGAGCAUGGGGGUUGCAACAACAUUAAUCAUGAAAUUUUAAAAAUGUUGUCAUAAUAUUUUAAAUCGUAAAAUUUGAAUGUACAUAGAUCAAUUAAAUUUUUGUUGAAGCGAUUAUUCUGUUUCGGGGGAGAACCGUGGAUUGUCUUCACUCUCCCGAGCCAGCAGCAGGAGCCGUGCAUGAGUAUGCUUGUACAUAGUUCACGAGUUGGGCAUUCCAAAUUCAGAAGGGACUGGAGAUGCCAAAAAUAAAUAAAUAAAAUAAAUUUAAAUUUCCUCUCAAAUUAUGAUGUGCUUAGAGUGAAUAAUCACCUCAGUAGGGAUAUGUCUAUGUAUGCUUUGGUUGCUGCCAUCUUGAAUUGAUGGUUAUUUUGCCAUAAAAAAAUUUUUUUAUAUACUU